rnacentral:precursor_RNA from 16 species
AUGGUCUUCUUACUAAUUGGGACUAGUUUUCUUGGCACUUGAGGAAUUCUCUGUUUGGUUGCAUGUAAUGUGCAUCUUUAUGGUAUCACAGAAUUCCCCAGUACCAAGGAAACUGGGUUCUAAAUCAACCCAAGUACAUC